ensembl:lncRNA
CUAAGCCAGGGCACCGGCUCCUGUGGGUCCCUGCCCUAGUCCCCCCUUCCUCCCCACACCCCAUACCCCGAGCCAGUGCGCAGGGCUCGAGGACUGUGAGGGCCUGGCGCGCCCGGAAAAAGGCUCCUGGCUCCCUGGUGACAUCCUUCACCCCAGCAGCGAUCAGUUCGUUGCCCUCCGUGCUGAGUCGCCAUGCGCUCCCCUCGGACUUCGGUCCUGUACUGGGUUCUCCACCGGAUUAUUCCCGGCCCCAGCUGCGACCUCUGGACACGCGCAUCCUCGUGACCAGUCGAAAAAUCGUUCUUGCUACUACGGGGGACCUGAGUACCCUCGGCGCGGAGAAGUGACCUUUCCUGGCUUGUCCUCGGCUCGUCCUCUUCCUCCCCAGCGCCACGCAUGGCUGAGACGCCGGGAAACUCUAAUGAUGCCCAGAGGAUGGGGGUGGUGGAGUGCCUGAUGACAGGGUGACGAGCAGCCGCCCGAAACAGGCCAGACUUCGGGACCUCCAAGGGCGGGGGACAGCAGAGCGAUCUGUGUCAGCUCCAGCAGCGACCGAUCUGGUCCCUCUUUUGGAUUAAAAGCCCCCAGUGGCAGGCUUUGUUUGCAAAGGUCGCUGUCUUUCCCAGUUUUCAUUCUCUACUUUUCCCCCAGUGAUGCUCACAAUGCGCUCAUUUUACUGCUGGUUCCUUGCAUCUGUGGAGCCCACACACAGUAAAGGGACCGCAGGUCCAGCGGAUGCUUGGAGUGCGCCUCUCUCUAUUCCAGUUUGACAGUUGGGUGUACCUACGGGCGCAAGCCCGGCGCCAGAGAACCCCAGCCGCCUAAGCGCUGCUGCGCCCCUGGGCUUCAUGGCCGGGUGGGAGCGCUAACUGAGAUAUGCACUAAGGUAACCGGGCGCAAAAAAAAAAAAAAAAAAAAAAAAAAAAAAAGGGGAACCGGGCACCGGGCACCAGCGCUCGAUUUUCCGAGUCCUACUUUCUUUUCGGAGCCCGCUGGGAUAUGUAGUUCCUUCUCUCGUCGUCCAACUCUGGGAGCAAACGUGACUUAAGGAUCUAAAACUACAAGUCCCUGCAUCCCCUGCGACGAAGGCGGUGAGGCAAGGUACUAGGCUUUGUGGUGCUCGGCGUUUGGAGAUCAACAAAGACAGCUUUGGAAAAGGUGCUUUCUCUGUACGGGGUGGUUAUUUGCACACUGCCCGCGUUCUGUGUAAUCCUCACCACAACCCUGUCAUGCACUAUUGUACCAAACUCAAAGAAACUGCUUGCCCAACUCUACAAAGCUGCCCAGUGAUAGAGAUGGCACUGAACCCAGAGCUCUGUCUUUCCAUUACAAAGCAUGCCUCAGUGCUCCGUGUCAAAGCGAGAUAAGGUUGGCUAGCGAAAAGAGAAAAAGAAUGUAACCAGCUGGGAAGUGGUGGGAAUAGAAAUGUUAAUUAGAUAGGACAAGGAAUUAAGAGAAGUUAAAAGCAAGUGCGAUUCUUAGGGGCUGGAUGGGACCUUUUCUUUGUUUGAAUAUGGCAGAAAAUCAGAGACCUAAUUCUUUGCAACCCAGAGACUGCUUGUGUUCAUGCGGAUUCUCAGCAUGGCUGGAAACAUUUAGCUUCAAAAUGCACUCAGCACACCACAAAACCAAAAUGAGCUCAAGACAAGCCCGGAGUCACCCACUGCACUGUCUUCAGAUUCGGUCCCCUUUGACACAGACCGCUUCCUUUCUUUGAGUUCCUUCGUCUCAGAAUCAUGGCGGAGUACAGGCCAUGCAUCUUGUAAGCGAUCCGUUUGAGUUUGCCUACAGUCUCUACAUAAUCACAUUCAGCAGCAGGCUCGUACAAGGUCCCAGCGGUUACACAGGAAGCGGUGGCAGACAGCAGGGCAGACACCAUCGUUUGGCUGCUGUAGCUGAAACUGCAUGGUGCUGUCUCGGUUGGCUGGCUGCUUCUGGGCCUCCAGGUCUCAGAAUAAGUCCAUACUCUCUGUCUAUCCAAGCUGGGUAAACUAAGGUUGUUGAACAAGCACGGCCAUGCCUGGGACCCUAAAUUCAGGUCCCAAGAAAUGAAAAGGAUGCACUCUGUUUCCAUGGCAUGCAGAGAUGCAAAGGUGGUGUUGAUGAAUUGCAAAGUGUGCAACAGCAGCAUGUGCUCUGUGUGUGUGUGCUUGCGUGUGUGUGUGUGUGUGUGUGCGUGUGCGUGUGUGUGUGUGUGUGCGUGUGUGCGCGUGUGUGUGUGUGUGUGUGUGUGUGUGUGUGUGUGUGUGUCUGCAACAGCAGCACAUGCCCUGUGUAGAGGAAAGACUCUUCUUUAUCUGAGAUCAAGCCAGGGGAGACCACAGGUGCACACAGCAAGGCUCUGAGGCUCCAACUGGAGCUUGGUACUGGAGUUCCUCAUCCUCCCCCAUCCCCCACAGUCACACCCACUUGCUAACCAAAGAGCUGAAGUGAAACAAAGAAACACUUCCCCCUUCUAGAAACAGGGCUCAGUCAGAGAGAAUCCCUGAAGAACCCAAAGUGGAUUUAAGAAGUUUCUGCUCUCAUCUUUAAAGAAGGAAUCUGGGAAGCUUGUCGAGGUGGACUCUCAGUGUAUAGGAGGAAGAGGCAAGAGAAUUGUUAGUUCUUUGCCAGCCUGGACUCCAUGAAGAGUAUCUCAGAGAGGAAAUAGAUUUUGAGAAAUGCUUGCUACUACUUCUGGAUUAGUAAAACCACACAUGCCGCUUGUAUUUCUUCUCUGGAUACUUGGAAAUGGAUGGCAUCCUGUGGACACUUGGCACGAAUAAAACUCGAUUGGACUAUGGACUGAUACUGCCUACCUCAAAGGUUGUGAGAUUUAUCAUCACCAUCACCACCACCACCACCACCACCACCACCACCACCAUCAUCAUUUUGGGGACAGUGUCUCACUAUGUAGUGCUAGCUGGCCUGGAAUUAGCUGCAUAGACCAGGCUUGUGGGGUACGUGGACCAUGAUGCCAGACAAAAGAACUGGCAAAGUUGAAGCAGGUUCAAACCCCCGCUUAUCUCACAAUUGAGAACGCUAGGCAUAGAACUACCUCUCAGACAGGCGCUACAUGGAACAGGUGACCAUGACACUCUAUUGAGAGGACCAUGACAACCAGUCACAUAGGGACAGCACCUGAAGUCCUUCCCCAUGCAAAUAAAGCAUCCCUAACAUCCCAGACUGAGCCGAAGGGGAGCAUCUACCCCGGGGAUCCCACCUUAUCCCCAGGAUGUUUAUAAGGCUUCUCUCCACAUGGAAUAAAGUACGUGAGUUAUUUCACCCGGAAUUGCCUGAGGGCAGCUGUCCUAAUGAGCUGUAACACCCUGGAGAAGAGUUUUCUCUUCCGGAGCUUUGGUCGAGGUAUCUCAGCUUCGCCCAGCAGGUAGGGCUUGUACUGUGCCAAUAGCAGCCAGCUCGGCUGCCUCUGCCCCUGAGCAGCCAGCUUGCUCCAUUCCAACAUCCUGACAUCCCAGCCAGGCAGGCACACAGCCUGACAGUGCAUGGACUGUGUUCUGCCUUCCCUGAAAUGCAGACAGACACAGGCUAACAUGAACUCACAAUAAUACACCUGGCUCUGUCUCCCUGGGAUUAAAGACGUGGACCAUUAGGCCCAGGGGUUGUGGGAUUUAAGUGUGUGAGUGUGGCUGAUAUGUAGUAAGUUCACCUGCAGAUGCUAAUUGUGGUUUUGUCAUUCCCAGUUUGCUAGUUUUAUAUAUUAUUAUGUCAUAAUAGGAAAACACGGAGGUUGUCGGGAUGUCUCCUUAUUCAUUCAGGAUUCUCAGCAAUAGCCUGAUCACUGAAUACAGAAGGGGAAAGCAGACAUCUGAUAACUGCAUGGAAAUAAAAUCUGAAGAUCACUCCUUCUAGAGCUUUCUCCUCUCAUAAUUCUCAAUAAACUUCCUUAAGCCUAGAAUGCAAGGUGAAUUCUAGGAACUACAAUGCCAAUCUUCCAGGCAAGAUGUGCCCAUUGGUGAAAUGGUGCCACGGCUGCUUCGGGAAUAACCAACCAUUCCAUGCUUGGAUUUGAGACCUGAUACCCAAGAGAUAACACAUGUCUAGUGCUGUAAACCAGUCACAGCUUGUGACUGAGAAAAUCUUGGACCUCAGGGUGGUGGUCCUAUUACUGCUACGUGGCUACACUAAUAUAACAGCCAACCACCUUUUAAAUCUUUG